AACAGGAUUAGAUACCCUGGUAGUCCACGCCCUAAACGAUGUCAACUGGUUGUUGGGAGGGUUUCUUCUCAGUAACGUAGCUAACGCGUGAAGUUGACCGCCUGGGGAGUACGGCCGCAAGGUUGAAGCUCAAAGGAAUUGACGGGGACCCGCACAAGCGGUGGAUGAUGUGGUUUAAUUCGAUGCAACGCGAAAAACCUUACCUACCCUUGACAUGCCAGGAAUCUUGCAGAGAUGUGAGAGUGCUCGAAAGAGAACCUGGACACAGGUGCUGCAUGGCCGUCGUCAGCUCGUGUCGUGAGAUGUUGGGUUAAGUCCCGCAACGAGCGCAACCCUUGUCAUUAGUUGCUACGAAAGGGCACUCUAAUGAGACUGCCGGUGACAAACCGGAGGAAGGUGGGGAUGACGUCAGGUCAUCAUGGCCCUUAUGGGUAGGGCUACACACGUCAUACAAUGGCCGGGACAGAGGGCUGCCAACCCGCGAGGGGGAGCUAAUCCCAGAAACCCGGUCGUAGUCCGGAUCGCAGUCUGCAACUCGACUGCGUGAAGUCGGAAUCGCUAGUAAUCGCGGAUCAGCUUGCCGCGGUGAAUACGUUCCCGGGUCUUGUACACACCGCCCGUCACACCAUGGGAGCGGGUUCUGCCAGAAGUAGUUAGCCUAACCGCAAGGAGGGCGAUUACCACGGCAGGGUUCGUGACUGGGGUGAAGUCGUAACAAGGUAACC
rnacentral:rRNA from 1 species